UACGUAGGGUGCAAGCGUUGUCCGGAAUUAUUGGGCGUAAAGAGCUCGUAGGCGGUUUGUCACGUCGGGAGUGAAAUCCAGGUGCUUAACACCUGGCUUGCUUUCGAUACGGGCAGACUAGAGGUAUGCAGGGGAGAAUGGAAUUCCUGGUGUAGCGGUGAAAUGCGCAGAUAUCAGGAGAAACACCGGUGGCGAAGGCGGUUCUCUGGGCAUGACCUGACGCUGAGGAGCGAAAGUGUGGGGAGCGAACAGG
rnacentral:rRNA from 1 species